AAAAUAAUCUCCUCGCAACAAAGCAUCACAUUUGUGUUGUGCGCAAACGGCAAACAGACUUCCGGCCUGCUUCCGGGGACCGGGCGUCGCGUCAUGGCGAGGAGGAGACACCUAACAGCCACGCCGACGCUGGUGCUCGUCAGCCUUCUCCUAAUGGCCGACCUGGCGACCACCGUCAGCUGCUACGGCCGAAGAGUUGCAGCAGAACCGCAUGUCUCAGAAGUCAGCGACAGCGGAGGCGGUGGCUCGCCGUCGCCGUCGCCGCCGGCCAGAGGCUGCUUCUUGUCUAAGACCGACCAGCAGCAAGAUUCUUCGGCGGCAGGGCGACACCUUCUUGGCGACUGUUGCAAGCACAUGCUUGGUGUGGGUGUGUCGUCCAAGAGGCUGGUGCCCCAGGGGCCGAAUCCUCUGCAUAACUGACCUGGGUCAUGUAAAAUAGCAGUACUGGUGUAGGCUUAGAGCUUCGUUUGCUUGCUGCUAGUUGGCUUAUACGGUCUCUCACGCUUUUGUUGAGGGCUACUCUUCGUCAGCCGGCCGGAGACUAAAACUUUGUGGUAAUGGACGAUCGAGUGCAGAACUCUUGUAG